UUGGAAAUAGCUCAGUGGUAGAGCACUUGCCUAGCAAGCACAAGGCCCUGGGUUCGGUCCCCAGCUCCGGAA
rnacentral:tRNA from 1 species